rnacentral:rRNA from 1 species
CCUACGGGAGGCAGCAGUGGGGAAUAUUGCACAAUGGAGGCAACCCUGAUGCAGCGACGCCGCGUGAGUGAAGAAGGAUUUCGGUAUGUAAAGCUCUAUCAGAAGGGAAGAAAAUGACGAUGCCUGCUUAGGAAGCAGCGGCUAACUACGAGCCGCCAGCCGCGGUAGUACGUAGGGGGCAAGCGUUAUCCGGAUUUACUGGGUGUAAAGGGAGCGUAGAAGGCAGCGCAAGUCGGAAGUGAAAUGCCGGGGCUUAACCCCGGAACUGCUUUGGAAACUGUGCAGCUAGAGUGCAGGAGAGGUAAGUGGAAGUCCUAGUGUAGCGGUGAAAUGCGUAGAUAUUAGGAGGAACACCAGUGGCGAAGGCGGGUUACUGGACUGUAACUGACGUUGAGGCUCGAAAGCGUGGGGAGCAAACAGGAUUAGAUACCCCUGUAGUC